rnacentral:tRNA from 1 species
GGGUGUGGCUUAGUGGUAGAGCACUUGCCUAGCAUGUGUAAGGCACUGGGUUUGAUUCUCAGCACCACA